UACGGAGGGGGCUAGCGUUGCUCGGAAUCACUGGGCGUAAAGCGCACGUAGGCGGUUCGUUAAGUCGGGGGUGAAAUCCUGGAGCUCAACUCCAGAACUGCCUUCGAUACUGGCGACCUUGAGUCCGGGAGAGGUGAGUGGAACUCCGAGUGUAGAGGUGAAAUUCGUAGAUAUUCGGAAGAACACCAGUGGCGAAGGCGGCUCACUGGCCCGGUACUGACGCUGAGGUGCGAAAGCGUGGGGAGCAAACAGG
rnacentral:rRNA from 1 species